rnacentral:rRNA from 1 species
AUGGCGGCGGCCGGCCUCGCGCUCUCGCUCUCGCUGCGCCCCGCGCAGCCGUCGGCGCGCGUGCCGAGGAGGGCUCUCCCGCCGCCUCUGCCACCCCCGCAGGGGCGCCUCGCCGUCGGCUGCCGCGCGAGCGCGCUUGCCUCGCCGCCGCUGUCGCCCCUCGCGCGCCCCGGCGUCGCGUGCCGCGCCGCCACCGCCUUCCAGAAGCUCGACGCCGUCGCGGUGCGGGAGGAGGAGGAGGCCUUCAGGUCGGGGGCGGCGGCGGGGCACACGCUGCUGCCCCUCCAGCGCUGCAUCUUCUCCGACCACCUCACGCCGGUGCUCGCCUACCGCUGCCUCGUCCGGGAGGACGACCGCGAGGCGCCCAGCUUCCUCUUCGAGUCCGUGGAGCAGGCCUCCGAGGGCACCAAUGUGGGGAGGUACAGUGUGGUGGGGGCGCAGCCGGCCAUGGAGAUCGUGGCCAAGGCCAACCAGGUGACGGUCAUGGACCACGAGAUGAGGACCAAGGAGGAGCAGUACGCGGCUGACCCCAUGACCGUCCCAAGGGACAUCAUGGCGCAGUGGAAUCCGCAGAUUACAGUUGAUGGCCUGCCUGAUGCCUUCUGUGGAGGAUGGGUUGGAUUCUUCUCAUAUGAUACGGUGCGUUAUGUUGAGACAAAGAAGCUUCCGUUUUCUAAGGCGCCAGAGGAUGAUAGGAACCUUCCUGACAUUCAUUUAGGCCUCUACAAUGACGUGGUCGUGUUUGAUCAUGUUGAAAAGAAAACACAUGUUAUUCAUUGGGUGAGAUUGGACUGCUAUCACUCAAUUGAUGAAGCAUAUGAAGAUGGGAAAAAUCGGUUGGAAGCUCUGUUAUCAAGAUUGCAUAGCAGUAAUGUCCCAACCCUUUCUGCUGGUUCCAUUAAGCUUAACGUUGGGCAAUUCGGCUCAGCACUACAGAAAUCAACAAUGUCUAGCGAGGACUACAAGAAGUCUGUUGUGCAAGCAAAAGAACACAUUCUAGCAGGUGAUAUUUUUCAAGUAGUACUAAGCCAACGUUUUGAGAGACGUACAUUCGCCGACCCUUUUGAGGUGUAUCGCGCAUUGCGUAUUGUCAAUCCUAGCCCUUAUAUGGCCUAUCUACAGGCACGAGGUUGUAUUCUCGUAGCAUCAAGUCCUGAGAUUCUUACUCGGGUCGCAAAGAGGACAGUUGUCAAUCGACCUCUUGCUGGAACAAUCAGGAGAGGAAAAACAAAAGAUGAAGACAAGGUUCUAGAACAGCUCCUGUUGAGUGACGAAAAACAACGUGCCGAGCACAUUAUGCUGGUAGAUCUUGGUCGGAAUGAUGUUGGAAAGGUGUCCAAACCAGGAACAGUAAAGGUGGAGAAAUUGAUGAAUAUUGAGCGAUAUUCGCAUGUCAUGCACAUUAGCUCGACGGUUACUGGGGAGCUGCGUGACGAACUUACAUGUUGGGAUGCCCUGCGAGCUGCAUUGCCUGUUGGAACCGUCAGUGGUGCUCCCAAGGUGAGAGCGAUGGAGCUGAUCGACGAGAUGGAAGUGACGAUGCGCGGGCCAUACAGUGGUGGCUUUGGCCAGAUCUCCUUCCGCGGUGACAUGGACAUCGCUCUCGCCCUGCGCACCAUUGUCUUCCCGACGGCGUCCCGGUUCGACACCAUGUACUCGUAUGGCACAGACAGCAGCAACGCGCGCCAGGAGUGGGUGGCGCACAUCCAGACCGGCGCCGGGAUCGUCGCCGACAGUAAGCCGGACGAUGAGCAGCAGGAGUGCCAGAACAAGGCCGCCGGGCUCGCUCGCGCAAUCGAUCUCGCCGAGUCGACGUUCCUGGACUUGUCCGACGCAUAG